rnacentral:rRNA from 1 species
UACGUAGGGUGCGAGCGUUAAUCGGAAUUACUGGGCGUAAAGCGUGCGCAGGCGGUUCUCCAAGUCCGCUGUGAAAGCCCCGGGCUCAACCUGGGAAUGGCAGUGGAAACUAGGGGACUGGAAUCUGGCAGAGGGGGGUGGAAUGCCGCGUGUAGCAGUGAAAUGCGUAGAGAUGUGGAGGAACACCGAUGGCGAAGGCAGCCUCCUGGGCCAGCACUGACGCUCAUGCACGAAAGCGUGGGGAGCAAACAGG